rnacentral:rRNA from 1 species
GGNNUCCCCUAGUAAUGGCGAAUGAAGCGGGAACAGCUCAAAUUUGAAAUCUCCGUCGCUUGCGACGGCGAAUUGUAGUUUCGAGAAGCACCUUCUCGGCGAGCCCGGAGCCGUCCAAGUUGCUUGGAACAGCACGUCAUAGAGGGUGACAACCCCGUCUGUGGCGGAGCCGGCCGCUCACGAUGUGCUUUCGACGAGUCGGGUUGUUUGGGAAUGCAGCCCAAAAUGGGUGGUAAACUCCAUCUAAAGCUAAAUAUUGGCACGAGACCGAUAGCGAACAAGUACCGUGAGGGAAAGAUGAAAAGCACUUUGAAAAGAGAGUUAAAAAGUACGUGAAACCGUUAAAAGGGAAACGAAUGGGGUUAGCAAUGCGCUCCGUGAGAUUCAGCCGGUGGAAGCGUCGGGCGGGCGGUUUGCGGAUCCGUACGGACCGCGGCCGUUCGGUUCGGCGCCUCGGCCGUCGCACUUCUCACGAGCGCGCGUCAGCGUCGGUUGGGACUGGGUCUCAAAGGCGUCGGGAAGGUGGAUCGAUCCCCUCGGGGCCCGAUCGUUAUAGCCCGGCGUUGUCGAUGGCCCGGAUCCGACCGAGGAGCCGCAGCGCGUGCCUUUUCUGGCUGGGAUCCCGUCGCUCCGGUCGGCAGUCGACCGCGGUGGACUGCUUGCAGUGCGCCGCGACUGCUGUCGGUCGCGGUGGCGGUGAUCUCGCACCACGCGCUCAGGACGCUGGCGGUCACAUGGCCUCAUCCGACCCGUCUUGAAACACGGACCAAGGAGUCUAACACGUGCGCGAGUCUUCGAGUGAUCGAAACUCCCAGGCGGAAUGAAAAGUGAAGGCGGCUUCGGCCGCCGNAGGUGAGAACCCUUCCCCNUCGCGGGAGGGGCGCAUCAUCGACCGACCUAUUCCA